AUUGAACGCUGGCGGCAUGCCUAACACAUGCAAGUCGCACGAGUGGCGGACGGGUGAGUAAUGUCUGGGAAACUGCCUUUUGGAGUGGGAUAACUACCGGAAACGGUAGCUAAUUCUGCUUACCUUCGUACGUGCCCAGAGGGGAUUAGCUAGUAGGUGGGGUAAAGGCUCACCUAGGCGACGAUCCCUAGCUGGUCUGAGAGGAUGACCAGCCACACUGGAACUGAGACACGGUCCAGACUCCUACGGGAGGAAGCAGUGGGGAAUAUUGCACAAUGGGCGCAAGCCUGAUGCAGCCAUGCCGCGUGUAUGAAGAAGGCCUUCGGGUUGUAAAGUACUUGCAGCGGGGAGGCGUUACCCGCAGAAGAAGCACCGGCUAACUCCGUGCCAGCCGCCGCGGUAAUAC
rnacentral:rRNA from 1 species